ensembl:lncRNA
GUUUAAACAAACAAAUGGAAUCAACUAUUGGAAAUGGCUGUUUUGAGCUUAUCACUAAAAUUGUUCAGUCAAAGGGGAUAAGCAUUUACAUAGAAGAUCUGUAUGUCACCCGGACUUGGCUUGCACCCUAUGGCUGUGAUCCAUUGCAGUCCUUUCCUACUGAUGCUCAGAGGAUGGACAUCAUAGUUCUCCCUCUCUGGACACCUGGUCAUUUCCAGUUGUGUGAAUCUUGCAGUGAAGCUCAUUCCCGGGCAGUGGUCAGAAAAAAACAGCUUUGACUUGAAGGUAUGUGCUAGUUUAAGUGUAUGGUGAAUAAUAUGAAUUACACUAGUCUUCUUUUAAGGGAUUUUAUUAACGAGCCUUUAUUUUCAAUGUAAUACAGGGUUUUCCAAGCCAAGACUAUGGAGCUGAC